rnacentral:lncRNA from 1 species
AUGGAAAUGUAGCAUCCAUGUUAGUUCACAGUGUAGAUCCAUGGUUCAAAAAAUGAGAGGUAGAAUACAAGUAAUGCAACAUUUUCCUCAAACACGGUAUUACAUCACACAUGUAUUGAAGGAAACAACUAUAAAUACAUGAGAAAAAACACAAACACACGUCAGGUAUAUGAACCAUCUCUAGCCCUUAACCCUUCAUUAAAUUACGCAAAUAACGCCCACUGCUUUAACCCUUCAUCCAAUCCAUUACAAUUACCGCUCUCCUUAUUAUUCUAGUUCUGCUAUUUUCAUUUUCCACAAAUAUAUUGCUAGUCAGGUAAACUCGCUAGUCAAUAACCUCUUCUACAGUGAAAUACACGGUCUCCUAGCAUGGCAUAGUACAGAAAUGUGUUAGCAUUACUGAAAGAGAAUCUAAAACAGUCUAUCAUGCAAAACUAUAUACAUUUUUAGUUUAUAUUAAUCUAACCAGUGAAUGUCAACACUUGACAUAAUUUUUUUGAAGAGAAAAUACAGUUCGCGAGUUUAUAGUAAAAUGGUCUAGGAAACAUUACCAUCCUCAGUAUUAAGUUAAUUUACAGACUGAUUAAAGAACACAUUUCCCCCCUCCAUGUUUCAAACCUGGGUAAGAAGGAAGCGUGAUUCAUCUCGAGCCCAGAUAAAUAUGCCUCUCCUUUUUCAUCGAACAAAUAUGCCUCUUCCCUCUCAGUGGCCCCAAUCACGUGCACUUUCUCUCAUCUCUGCAUUCACUAAGCAGAUCAGAUCACAUGUGACCAGGAACUUCAGAACAAAUUGUAGCAUUUUGAUUUGGACGUGGCUAGGGGUUAGGCAACAAGCAAAGCUAGUCCAAAGCGAGUUGUACCUGUACAAGGAGACCGUUGUUGUCUUCAGCUUCCAUCAGCAUCGGAUUCAGCAACGCGGUGGGCAGGAGGAGGAACCAAUAGGACCAUGCAGACCACAAGGAGAUGAAGCAUUGAAAUGAAACAAUCACAUUAAAAUCAUUCUUUGCGAUCGUUCUAGCUAGUGCACAACAGGCGUGUGCCUUGGAUCAUGGACUGCUAUGGACAUGCAAGCCACCAAACACGCACAGAGUUUGUCUUGGCACAACACCGCCAGCAUGUAUUUGUCCCGGCUCCUCCCUUACCCUAUGCUUAUGGAUCUAGGAAGAAGGGGGGG